UACGUAGGGGGCAAGCGUUGUCCGGAUUUACUGGGCGUAAAGAGCGUGUAGGCGGCCAGACAGGUCUGUUGUGAAAACUGGAGGCUUAACCUCCAGACGUCGACAGAAACCGUCUGGCUAGAGUCCGGAAGAGGAGAGUGGAAUUCCUGGUGUAGCGGUGAAAUGCGCAGAUAUCAGGAAGAACACCCGUGGCGAAAGCGGCUCUCUGGAACGGUACUGACGCUGAGACGCGAAAGCGUGGGGAGCGAACAGG
rnacentral:rRNA from 1 species